rnacentral:rRNA from 1 species
UACGUAGGGGGCUAGCGUUGUCCGGAAUCAUUGGGCGUAAAGCGCGCGUAGGCGGCCCGGUAAGUCCGCUGUGAAAGUCCAGGGCUCAACCCUGGAAAGCCGGUGGAUACUGCCGGGCUAGAGUCCGGGAGAGGCGAGUGGAAUUCCUGGUGUAGCGGUGGAAUGCGCAGAUAUCAGGAGGAACACCGAUGGCGAAGGCGGUUCUCUGGGCAUGUCCUGACGCUGAGGAGCGAAAGUGUGGGGAGCGAACAGG